AUGGCGCCUGACAGCAGCAUCAUAUUUGAGCUGCGCAAGUACGUCAUGUUCAUGGCCAUUCUGACCGCUACGGUGACCUACGUCGCUGGGCUCAACCCUCCGGGCGGCGUCUGGCUGCGCACCGAAGACGACCACCUCGCCGGCAACCAGAUCCUGGUCGUGACGGACCACCAGCGCUACAAUGCCUUCUACUACAGCAACGGCACCGCGUUCAUGGCUUCCGUGGUGGCCAUCCUCCUCCUCCUCCUCCUGGAGAGGAAGAUGGACAAGCUGCGCCUUCUCGUGGUGCUCAGGUACGUCAUGGUGUUGGAUCUCUUCGCACUCCUGGUGGCCUACACCGCCGGGGCCAGCCGGGGGACGGCCACCACCGUCUUCGCCUCCAUGCUGGCCUCCAAAGUCUUCGUCUACGUCACUGGCUACGCUGCGCCACAUCUGCUCGGGUCUAUACCCGACCAUGACGAGCUCAGUUUGGAGGCAAAAUCCAGGCUCGUGCAGCGGCGCAAGAUCCUGAUACUCUUCUGCAUCUUCGCGGCAACGGUCACCUACACGGCCGGGUUGAACCCCCCGGGUGGUUUCUGGGCCGACGCCAAAGAAGCAGGCCACCGGCCGGGCAGCCCAGUCAUGCACUCGCGGCGCUUCAUGGCCUUCUUCAUCUGUAACACCGUCACGUUUAUCGCGUCCCUCAUGGCCAUGCUGAUGCUCCUAACCACCAUUAGAAGCGAGUUCAGGCAGGGCGCCGAGUUCGCUCAUAUUCGGCGCUGGUGGUACGUCCUCUACGGGGAAAUCCUGGCGACUCUGCUUGGCCUCUUGGUGGCCUACGCGCUUGGAAGCUGCAGGAAGACUCACUCCACCAUCUAUGUUUUCUGCCUGGUCCUCCCGGUUCUCCUCUACACUCUCAUCCAAUUACUCAUCCAGAGAUACUGUUGGGAUAAACUUGUGGGCCUUGCCAAGAAAAUACAAAGGCACUUAACAUGCUGCUGGACCGGGCUAAGCUCGGGCUUCAACUUAUGCUGGAACGGACUACGCUCAUGCUGGACCGAUCCUAUCCAGCAAAACGCGCGGAGACAAGAUAACUCUGGGACAGGGACGGCGCCGGCGCAGAUGGCCCACACUAUGGUGCUGCUUCUUGCCACUCUCGCCGUGACCAUCACGUACCAAGCAGGGAUGAACCCGCCAGGCGGCUUCUGGCCGGACGACGGCGACGGUCACAAGGGCGGCGACCCGAUACUGUUAACGACGCAUCUGGGACGCUACAGGGCCUUCUUCUACUGCAACACCGUCGCCCUCGUCGCCUCCAUAGUCGUCAUUUUCAUGGUCCUCAACAGUCACGUGCGGAUCGCCGUCCACAAGCACCACGCGCUGGAGGCCGCCAUGUUACUCGACCUGCUCAGCCUCACGGCCGCCUAUGCGGUUGGGUGCGGCCGGGACGUGGACACCUCCCUCCGCUUAAUCGCCGUUGGCGGUGCCAUCCUGGCUUACGUCGUGAUCCACAUCGUCUUCUUCACGCUCGAGACUACAAGGAGCGAGGAGCCGGCUGUGAUGAAGAAGAAGCGCAAGCUGCUGCUGUUGUUCGCCAUCUUGGUCGUCACCAUCACCUACCAAGCUGGACUUACCCCGCCGGGGAGCUUCUGGCUCAAAGGUGACUCCGCGGGCUACCCGGUCAUCUCCAGCAACUAUCCGGGCCGUUACACGGCCUUCUUCUACUGCAACGCGGCGAGCUUCAUGUCCUCGGUGGUCAUCAUCAUCCUGCUGGUGAACCCGCAUAUGUACGAGCUGGGCAUCAAGUGCCACGCACUCUACUUGUGCGCGGUAUCGGGCUUGGUCGGCCUCAUCAGCGCGUACGCCGCUGGGAGCUCUCGGCACAUGCGGACCUCCAUCUUUGUGGUCGCGCUGGCCGGCGCAGUGGUUGUUUUCAUCGUCCUGCUGCUCUUAGCACUCAAGUUUCUCUUCCCCACGCCUGCCGCUGCUCCUGAUCCUGAAGCAACACAGCCUGCCUCCGUUGCUCCUGAGCAAGAAACAACAGCGCCUGCCACCGCUGAUCCUGAUGCAACACAGCCUGCCACCGUUGCUCCUGAGCAAGAAACAACAGCGCCUGCCCCUGCUGCUCCUGGGCAAGAAACAAUACGGCCUGCCCCCGCCGCUGAAGGACAAACGGAUAAGUACACCAGGCGCAAGUGCCUCAUGCUGGUGAGCAUCCUGGUGGCGAGCGUCACCUACCAGGCCGGCCUCAACCCACCGGGCGGCGUGUGGCCGGACAGCAUCGACGGGCACGCCGCCGGCGGCCCGGUGCUACACGACAGCAACAAGCGCCGGUACCAUUUCUUCUUCUACAGCAACUCUGUCUCCUUCCUAGCAGCCAUCGUUGUCAUCUUCCUGCUACAACUGGACGAGCUACUGGGUGUGGGGUCCGAGGGGCUGCUCCGUGUGGCGCAGUCCUCCAUCCUGCUGGCCCUGCUCGGCCUCCUCUUCGCCUACGCCUCCGGCAGCAGCCGGGAGUGGGACACGUUCGGGCAUAUGGUCGCGCUAACGGUCGUCGUGCUGCUCUACAUCGCCAUCCAUGUGCUGCUAUCAUGCCGUCACGACAAUAGCUCACAUAACCCCAGUGCUGACAGGUCCAUAACCCGUGAGAGGGUACUCCCCACUGACGCUUAUCAGGAACCAUCAGUAGGAGGCAUGUCGGUGGUGAGUGGUGACUAA
rnacentral:rRNA from 1 species